rnacentral:lncRNA from 1 species
GAAAAAGAAAGGAAUAAAUAUGGGAGACAAUCAUCUGCAACAAGGUCAGCCUCCACAGACGGGAGGAUGGAAGCUCGGAGAAGAGAAAUAAGUCACCCAAGUUUGAAAAAGUGGUAGAACCAGACCUCAGAUGCAGCACCCGAGUCCAGAGCCCGUGUGAGUAGCUACAACGCUGAUCUGGCUCCUCCACACAGGGCUGUGUGGAGCCCGGGGAACUUCACUGAUCUUGAUGCGCACCAAAGUUUGACCACCGAGGGUUUGGCGUUUACACGAGGGAUGCAAGAAGGUGCCCUGUGCCCACACCCCCAGGGGUGUAGGAACCCUGCCUGUCUCAUUGGUGGCUGGAAGGGCCCCCUGUCCCCAGGGGAGACGUGAGGCUGGGUGGACAGCAGAAGCAGGUGAGUCCUUCGAGCAAUUGGAUUUUUUUCCUAUUUGGGGAACAUCUGCAAGGACUGGGGUCAGGGCUGGUCCACAGAGCAGCGUCUGCACGCUAAGGAGGGGGAAAGGAACAAGAUCCGGGACGCAGGAGAGGGGAGAAGGAGGCGAGAGACAGAAGGAAGAGAAAUUGGGGGAGAGAGAGGUAGCCAACUGAAUAAAGAUCGGUUCUGUUGAAAAGUUGAAAAAUUCUACCAAACUAGGUAACAGGUGUUUCAUGUAACAUCCAUCCAAUCAUGCAUUUGCUUGUCUAUUUUUCACGCAGAACACUCGAAUGUCGCUAUUCCUGACCCACCCCCACCCUCCCCCCACCCAGUCCCGCAUUUUAAGUCCUGCUUCCCUUGCACUGUUGGCGACACAUCUCGAAAUGCUGAGAGACCCCCAGCCAGGGACAAGCUGAUGGGUUCUGCUUCUAGCUUCUUCUUGUGACCCAGCAUAGGACAAGGACCCCAGACCUUUAAUACUGAAACAUAACUGGCUCAAUAAAGCUCCUUAUCCGACAGGCUGUGGCA